rnacentral:ncRNA from 1 species
UUAAAAACUUUGAUGAAGAAUGAAAAAAUCGGUUCAAUUGUAGAGAGCUAGUGGUCGGUGCAAACUAGUUUGAGCCAUUUUGGAUAGCCCUUCUGAGUUGAUGUGUUGAAUGCCUUUAUAAGUAGGCACAUCCGGAUAAUCCGUUAUCUUUUGACUAAAGUAGUCUCUAAGAUGCACAGCUGUGCAUAAACGAGGGUGGUACCGCGGUUAAUACCUUCCGCCCCUCAC